rnacentral:rRNA from 1 species
UACGGAAGGCAGCAGUGGGGAAUAUUGGACAAUGGGCGCAAGCCUGAUCCAGCCAUACCGCGUGGGUGAAGAAGGCCUUCGGGUUGUAAAGCCCUUUUGUUGGGAAAGAAAUCCAGCUGGCUAAUACCCGGUUGGGAUGACGGUACCCAAAGAAUAAGCACCGGCUAACUUCGUGCCAGCAGCCGCGGUAAUACGAAGGGUGCAAGCGUUACUCGGAAUUACUGGGCGUAAAGCGUGCGUAGGUGGUCGUUUAAGUCCGUUGUGAAAGCCCUGGGCUCAACCUGGGAACUGCAGUGGAUACUGGACGACUAGAGUGUGGUAGAGGGUAGCGGAAUUCCUGGUGUAGCAGUGAAAUGCGUAGAGAUCAGGAGGAACAUCCAUGGCGAAAGGCAGCUACCUGGACCAACACUGACACUGAGGCACGAAAGCGUGGGGAGCAAACAGGGAUUAGAUACC